rnacentral:rRNA from 1 species
CCUACGGGAGGCUGCAGUGGGGAAUAUUGGGCAAUGGGCGCAAGCCUGACCCAGCAACGCCGCGUGAAGGAAGAAGGCUUUCGGGUUGUAAACUUCUUUUGUCAGGGAAGAGUAGAAGACGGUACCUGACGAAUAAGCCACGGCUAACUACGUGCCAGCAGCCGCGGUAAUACGUAGGUGGCAAGCGUUGUCCGGAUUUACUGGGUGUAAAGGGCGUGUAGCCGGGUUGACAAGUCAGAUGUGAAAUCCUGCGGCUUAACCGCAGAACUGCAUUUGAAACUGUUGAUCUUGAGUACUGGAGAGGCAGAUGGAAUUCCUAGUGUAGCGGUGAAAUGCGUAGAUAUUAGGAGGAACACCAGUGGCGAAGGCGGUCUGCUGGACAGCAACUGACGCUCAGGCACGAAAGCGUGGGUAUCGAACAGGAUUAGAUACCCCAGUAGUC